UAUCACAAUAGUUUAGUUGCCGC
rnacentral:miRNA from 1 species